UACGUAGGGUGCAGGCGUUAAUCGGAAUUACUGGGCGUAAAGGGCGCGUAGGCGGCCCGCUAAGUCGAAACGUGAAAUCCCCGAGCUCAACUCGGGAACUGCGUCCGAUACUGGUGGGCUUGAAUCCGGGAGAGGGAUGCGGAAUUCCAGGUGUAGCGGUGAAAUGCGUAGAUAUCUGGAGGAACACCGGUGGCGAAGGCGGCAUCCUGGACCGGCAUUGACGCUGAGGCGCGAAAGCUAGGGGAGCAAACGGG
rnacentral:rRNA from 1 species